AGCGAACGCUGGCGGCAGGCCUAACACAUGCAAGUCGAACGAACCUUUCUGGGUUAGUGGCGGACGGGUGAGUAACACGUGGGAACGUGCCUUUAGGUUCGGAAUAACUCAGGGAAACUUGUGCUAAUACCGAAUGUGCCCUUCGGGGGAAAGAUUAAUCGCCUUUAGAGCGGCCCGCGUCUGAUUAGCUAGUUGGUUGAGGUAAUGGCUCACCAAGGCGACGAUCAGUAGCUGGUCUGAGAGGAUGAUCAGCCACAUUGGGACUGAGACACGGCCCAAACUCCUACGGGAGGCAGCAGUGGGGAAUCUUGCGCAAUGGGCGAAAGCCUGACGCAGCCAUGCCGCGUGAAUGAUGAAGGUCUUAGGAUUGUAAAAUUCUUUCACCGGGGACGAUAAUGACGGUACCCGGAGAAGAAGCCCCGGCUAACUUCGUG
rnacentral:rRNA from 1 species